rnacentral:lncRNA from 1 species
UUCUGGGUUGCUCCCUGAAAAAUCAUACCUAAGAAAAAUAAAAUCUUCUCAUUGAUCCUGCUUUCCUUUUACUUUCUAAUGUCCCAAUAUGUUGAAGCAGAAAUCAGAAUAGAUAGUAUUGACAAGAAAUGUAUCCUUUAAAAGUCAAAUUUGUCCUUUAAAUUGGCUCUUCUCAUAAAGCAGCUGUUGAAGCUUUUUCUCCAGUAACAAAGAAUCUUUGCUCAAUUCUUCACCCCUUGCCCCCGAUCUCACCUCUAUUCCCAAUAUGCAGUCCUCACCUAGACCCAUUCUUCCAGGCUGAUGCUGAGUUUAUUUACUCUGAGCAACAUUUUCAGGAAUCAACAUCAGCAGAUUACUACAAUGAAAUUUUUUUUUUAGUUUAGCCUCAAGCCUAUGAAAUUAAUUUCCAUUUUGAUAAUCACAAGACGUUCCUUGGAAAUAUCAGUGACUGCUCAAGCCAUAGGCAGAUCAAGUGUAGAUGCUCCAUCAUCUGAAUAGGGUUGGGUUAUGUUUUCAAUUGGAACAAGGUAUUAAGUGAUUAAACUGUGCCAGAGGACACAGCACUUUUAUCAAGCCCUUUUCUAUCCAAGCAGGCACAAGGAUAGUCAAUCCCUGGCCCUGAAAGCCUACAAGAAAAACUUGGAAUGCUUUAGGAAAUCAUGUUUAUAAUUAAAGCACUGGCAUUUUUCUUCUCAUUACAGAAUAAAGGCUGAAUACAAUUUUUGAAACUUUACCUUUUUUUAAUUUCAAUAAGCUGCUUACGAUCCUCUUGCAUUCAUUGACAGGAUUUUUGGCCCAUUCUGCUAUUCUAGUCCACAACCAUUUAACUGCUAAAUGUUAGCAGAUUACAAGUGACUAACAGUGGAAUAUUCGGAAUUCUAUACACCAUUAUUUUAAUUCCUACCACAGCUAGAAUUCACACAAGAUAGAAGUUCAAAAACAAGUUUGGGCACUAUAUUUUGCCCAUCUUCUUGUAGAUAUAGUUAGAACACUGAUGUGUCAUCACCUUAUUCCUCUCAGCAUACCUGGCACGUGUCUGAGAGAAUGAGUGAAUUAAAUGAACGAAUAAAUAUGCAAGGUACCCAAUGUCUAUUUGACUAUUUAGACUUGUGGAAGAAGUGGCAGCUUUUUAGUGAUUACUAGCGUGGGUUCUAUAUUAUAAAUGUUCUUAAAUAAAAAUACAAAAUGAACACAAUAAGACACUAAGUAUAUGUCAUAAAUCUGAAAUAAAAUUGCUAAGCACUCCAUUAUCAUAAAAUUCUUUUUAGAAGUCUUCCAAGAGAGGGAAAUUGGGGAAGUAAAACCAAACUUACAAGAAGGCCA